AAGCGCUUGUGACCAGACGUGCGCCGGGGUGUUCAGCGGGCGUUCUCGCCCGUGCACUCGCCUCGGCGCAGGCCAGCGUCGGUUCGAGUGGGAGGAUAAAGGCGUCUGGAAUGUGGCUCCUCCGGGAGUGUUAUAGCCAGACGUGCCAUGCUCCCGCCCGGACCGAGGUACGCGUUCUGCAAGGACGCUGGCGUAAUGGU
rnacentral:rRNA from 1 species